GCGGCUGGCCGAACGAGAGACGGGCUCGUUCUCCACACCCCGAGUGCCGGCUAGGGCCGCCGCCGCCGCCGCCGCCCCAAUCCUGCUCCGCCCGCCUCGUCUCUCCUUAGAGAGGAGAAAGAGUUGCUCUUCCAUGGCUGGCAGAGGAGCCGUCGCCCCCGCCGCCACGAUGGAGAUGGAGUACCUGAACUGAAAGAAGAGUGCGCCGGUGCUCUACGACCUCGUCAUGUCCUAGCCGCUCGAGUUGCCCUCCCUCACCUUCCAGUGGCUCCUUUCAGAGUCGCCGGCCUCCACCCGCUCCCACAGCCUCGUCCUCGGCACUCACACCUCCGAUGACUCCCCCAACCACCUCAUGCUUGUCGAUGCCGUGCUCCAGCCCCCGCCGCGCCUGGCCGUGGCGGCUGCCGCCAGGGCCGCGCCACCCCGUCCGUGUCCAUCGGUCACUCAGCGCCCCAUAAGGGGGAGGUCAACCGCGCUGGGAGCAUAUGUACGGCCUUGGGGAGGACGGCGUGGAGGUAUGCACUGGCGUGGAGCACGAUGAAGGAGGGGUUCCUGCUGAGCGGCUCGUACAAUAAGAAGAUUUGCAUAUGGGAUCUCAAGGCCGGGAAUCGAGCCCCAGUUCUGGAUGCGCAACAGGUGUUUGAGACAUCCAUGACCGCACCAUGAAAGAGCGGGAGAUGCCGAGCUACAUCAGGAUGCCGUUCCCUCUGACGCCUCUCAUGUCGCCGUUAAGGCCUCGAGCUGGCUGCGACCAAGCACGACCUCUAGCUCCUGCACCGCGAUUGCAGUCGCGCGGCUGAUGGCCACGGGCUGCUCCACGCACGGACGACAAGCACGUUGUCCGCGAUCAAGGUGCUCUUGCCCCUCUUCUCUUCCCGGUGGCUCUAUCCAUCCCCCCUGUUUGAUUCGGCUGUCAUUCCAGAUCGUUAGUUGCUAAUUGGAGUAACUCUAUUGGUUAGAAUUAUUUAGAUGCAGCGUUUCAGAUUUGCAGUGCGUAGCGAGUGAAGAGAUUUAGGUUCGUUAUGUUCUCACAAUUGCUAGGGCUUUCAGGCUAGACGGACAUUUCUAUGCGACAUGGCAAUGUGAGAGUUUUCCUACUUCUUAUGUUUAGUUCCUGAAUCUCAAUAAAAUGAAACUAUAAAAAAUCCUGAGCUACCUCUACACUCACAGAGCUUACAAGUUGGCAUAAUUAGGAUGAACAAACAUCUUUACCUUAUCAGCGUGACCCCCCAACAGGAAAUAGCUUCGCAUCUAAUGAGAAGUGAUACGCGCAACCUUGUUUUAUGCUUGCUCGAACUGAAGAGAUCUCUCAGAAGAUAAAUGUUGUGUAAAAUGCACAUGGAACUUAAUAUAGAACAAAGUAAUGAUAGUUAACCACUUAUUUAGCAGUAAAAAACAGUCUACAUUGUACUGAAAUAUAAAGGUUUAACCACUUAAUUAGCAGUAAAAAACAGUCUACGCUGUACUGAAAUAUAAAGGUGGGAACCUGGAUGGCUGUAGCUUUUUCACGAUGAUCAUCUGGCAUACUUCUCUGAAGAGAACAAACUAAGGAACCAAUGGAGCUACCACAUAAAACAGUGAAAAAAAUAGGAAGAAAAUAAUCUAGGAUGUGAUCCUGACAUGGCCAUCAGACAUUGUGGCGAUGUUGACAGUUUCUUUGACAACAUAUGUUUGGUUUGUUUCCACUACAAGGCAAAGCAAGGGAAAAGAACAGGUAAAUCUUGUGUGGCUGUGUGAUGCAUUUCUUGUUGGUAUACGACUACGAACGACGGUAAUACCAAAUAUUAUUUAUCUUUUACCUUUCUGAAUCUUGUAGCACAGCAGAAACAUGCUUUUGUGCUAUUCAAUAAUGCCUCUAUUUGUUUUGAUGGAUUUAGUGAUUAUUCGUUGAUUACGGUAGUGGGGAUUUGGAGAGAAUCAAGAAGUUGCCACAUGAACUGUCAUUUAUCUCUCUAACUUCCAUUUAGUAAAAUUUCUAUUUCUGAUGUUCUACUCUUUCUGAAUUUUUAUGUGGUGCAUUGUGAAGAUCCUUCUCUGCUGCAGGAGAACCUGAGAUGCGACAUCAACGUGGUGGUCAUAUAUCAGAAAGGCAAGUUCUUGUGAAAGGAAGGUCAAGAUCUCCGGCGGCAGGCCAACGGGCACCAUCUCGAGCCAUCGGCACGUGAACCAUGAAAAUGAUUGAGUUGCUUACUGCAUGUCAUGUUAUAUGCACUGGUUUUCAGAUCAUGGUGUGGAGCUUGAGAACCUGCAUCAGAGACAAGAAACACAAGGUCCAUUAUGAGUCUGUACUAGGAUUGAAGUAGGAAGCUGCCAGAGGUGUGUAAUUCAUGUACGCGCAUAUGUUUUCUUGAUUCUCUCUCCAAGGCCAAUACGGAGGAUCCCGUUAAGCUGCUAUUAAUUGGUUGCAUCCAGACGCUCUAAAGCACGGUGCCGACCUAUAUAAUUAUAAGUUGGUAAAUUUGACUUUGAAUUUUUACUAUGCCAUGUAUUAAUGUUGCCAUUUACAGCAUUUCCUCUUCCUACCCUACCAUGGACCCUCCCUCACAUAUACUUCAUCCUUUUCGGUUUAUAGGGCUUAUUUCAAAAUCUUAGUUUUUCUAUUU